UACGAAGGUCCCAAGCGUUGUUCGGAAUCACUGGGCGUAAAGGGAGCGUAGGCGGCGUGGUAAGUCAGAUGUGAAAUCCCGGGGCUCAACCCCGGAACUGCAUCCGAUACUGCCAUGCUAGAGGAUUGGAGAGGUAGCUGGAAUUCUUGGUGUAGCAGUGAAAUGCGUAGAGAUCAAGAGGAACACUCGUGGCGAAAGCGAGCUACUGGACAAUUCCUGACGCUGAGGCUCGAAGGCUAGGGUAGCGAAAGGG
rnacentral:rRNA from 3 species